GAAGACUAUUAAAGAUGCCAUCGGCGAGCUUGGUGACCAUAGCUUCUUCUUCAUCAUCUGUAGCCAGCUCUGUUCACACCAACAAAAUCAUCUAUCUACAAAUCUGGAAGCCUCUAUAUAUACCGAAAUUCGCUGUCUCUGGUUAUGGGGUUCGGUUGUCAAUCAAAGCUUUCAGAGUUUGAUAACGUUCACUCCUCCAAAUUAGUUGGUUCGGUGAUUGAUCAAAUCUUGAUAGAGUUUGGUUCUUCUUGAUACCGUUACCUCUUCGAUAUUAUCAGAUAAAGAGAGGGAUAUGAGAACUGGGGAAGGAGGAAAA